rnacentral:rRNA from 1 species
GGUGCUGCAUGGCUGUCGUCAGCUCGUGUUGUGAAAUGUUGGUUAAGUCCCGCAACGAGCGCAACCCUUAUCCUUUGUUGCCAGCGGUCCGGCCGGGAACUCAAAGGAGACUGCCAGUGAUAAACUGGAGGAAGGUGGGGAUGACGUCAAGUCAUCAUGGCCCUUACGACCAGGGCUACACACGUGCUACAAUGGCGCAUACAAAGAGAAGCGACCUCGCGAGAGCAAGCGGACCUCAUAAAGUGCGUCGCAGUCCGGAUUGGAGUCUGCAACUCGACUCCAUGAAGUUGGAAUCGCUAGUAAUCGCGUAUCAGCAUGACGCGGUGAAUACGUUCCCGGGCCUU